rnacentral:rRNA from 1 species
GAUGAACGCUAGCUACAGGCUUAACACAUGCAAGUCGAGGGACCGGCGCACGGGUGAGUAACACGUAUCCAACCUGCCCUUUACUCGGUGAUAGCCUUUCGAAAGAAAGAUUAAUACCCGAUAUAAAGGAUGGGGAUGCGUUCCAUUAGGUUGUGGGUGAGGUAACGGCCCACCAAGCGUUCGAUGGAUAGGGGUUCUGAGAGGAAGGUCCACCAGAUUGGAACUGAGACACGGCCCAAACGCGUACGGGAGGCUGGAGUGAGGAAUAAUGGUCAAUGGGCGGUAGCCUGAACCAGCCAAGUAGCGUGAAGGAUGAAUGCGUAUGGGGCGUAAAUUACCUGGAUGUAAGAAUCGGUAUUAGAUGAAUAAGGAUCGGCUAACUCCGUGCCAGCAGCCGCGGUAAUUC